UGGAGCGCUAUGCAGCAAGAGCCCGUGAGAGACAGACCAGUCAAGAAGAAAAAAAUCCGGGCAUGGACCGAAGCGGCACGAAUUCAGCCCAGCCGCCUUGGCCUGCCUGAAUGCGAUGCUGCAUGCUCACUCCAGGGGACCAGAGGCUCUCUUCUACCGCGUGUUUGGAGCAGCAAGUGUCUUUGGUCUCAAGGUGAUGAGCUUUGACCACUGUGCGGUGCCCUUGCUUCUUUCUUUUCGUUGUUGCACACCCUCUCUGUUGUGGCUGUGCUGACAGACUGACAUUCCGGGAAGCGCGGUCAGCUUGGAGGCGGACGAGGAUUCCGGACCAGAGACAGAAGACGCCAGUGUAGUCAACUGCGUGCGUGACCACAAGAAAGCCAAAGUUUUGUAUGUGAAGCUGCCUGCAGGCUUUCGUACACCAAAGGGUCUGAGCAUGGACAUCAUGGCCAAUGGCGAGAGCCUGCCCAACCAACAGCCCAUUCCAAAUGGCAUAUGUUCCUCUGUGCCACUGG
rnacentral:misc_RNA from 1 species